CUACGAGGACGACGCUGGCGGCGUGCUUAACACAUGCAAGUGGAGCGACGAACCGGGGCUUGCCCCGGGGCAGAGCCGCGAACGGGUGAGUAACACGUGGGUAACCUGCCUCAAUGAUUGGGACAACCCGGGGAAACUCGGGCUAAUACCAAAUGUGUUCACUCCUUCCAAGGGGAGUGAGGAAAGGAAGCUUCGGCCUCCGCAUUGAGAUGGGCCCGCGGCCCAUUAGCUUGUUGGUGAGGUAACGGCUCACCAAGGCUUCGAUGGGUAGCUGGUCUGAGAGGACGAUCAGCCACACUGGGACUGAGACACGGCCCAGACUCCUACGGGAGGCAGCAGUGGGGAAUCUUGCACAAUGCGCGAAAGCGUGAUGCAGCAACGCCGCGUGGGGAAGACGGCCUUCGGGUUGUAAACCCCUUUCAGUUGGGACGAAGCUUCGUCGGUGAAUAGCCGGUUGGAGUGACGGUACCUUCAGAAGAAGCCCCGGCUAACUACGUG
rnacentral:rRNA from 1 species